rnacentral:hammerhead_ribozyme from 1 species
AUCAAGUUGACGAGUCCUAAAUAGGACGAAACACGCGUCAAACUGGAU